rnacentral:rRNA from 1 species
CCUACGGGAGGCAGCAGUGAGGAAUAUUGGUCAAUGGGCGGGAGCCUGAACCAGCCAAGCCGCGUGAGGGAAGAAGGUACAGCGUAUCGUAAACCUCUUUUGUCAGGGAACAAAGGCGGGGACUAGUCCCCGGAUGAGGGUACCUGAAGAAAAAGCAUCGGCUAACUCCGUGCCAGCAGCCGCGGUAAUACGGAGGAAGCGAGCGUUAUCCGGAUUUAUUGGGGUUAAAGGGUGCGCAGGCGGCCUGUUAAGUCAGCGGGAAAAGCCCGGGGCUCAACCCCGCGGGGCCGUUGAAACUGGCGGGCUGGAGUUGGAGAGAAGUACGCGGAAUGCGCGGUGUAGCGGUGAAAUGCUUAGAUAUCGCGCAGAACCCCGAUUGCGAAGGCAGCGUACCGGCUCCACACUGACGCUGAGGCACGAAAGCGUGGGUAUCGAACAGGAUUAGAUACCCGUGUAGUC